rnacentral:rRNA from 1 species
CCAAUAGCGUAUAUUAAAGUUGUUGCAGUUAAAAAGCUCGUAGUUGAAUUUCGGGAUUGACGUGAUGGUCGUGCCUUACGGGGUAUGAACUGUUGCAGUCAAUUUCUCACCUUCUGGAGAAAUACGAUGUCCUUAAUUGGGUGUCAUAUGGAACCAGAACUUUUACCUUGAAAAAAUUAGAGUGUUUAAAGCAGGCUUAUUGCUCGAAUACAUUAGCAUGGAAUAAUAAAAUAGGACGGCAUGGUUCUAUUUUGUUGGUUUCUAGGAUCACCGUAAUGAUUAAUAGGGAUAGUUGGGGGCAUUAGUAUUCAAUUGCCAGAGGUGAAAUUCUUGGAUUUAUUGAAGACUAACUACUGCGAAAGCAUUUGCCAAGGAUGUUUUCAUUAAUCAAGAACGAAAGUUAGGGGAUCGAAGACGAUCAGAUACCGUCGUAGUCUUAACCAUAAACUAUGCCGACUAGGAAUCAGACGAUGUUAAUUUUUUAAUGACUCGUUUGGCACCUUACG